rnacentral:tRNA from 1 species
CGGGACGGGAGUGGCCACCACACAAGAAAAAUCAAUAAGUUAGAAGAUGCUCACUGCGUUCGGGACGCAGGGGUCGCAGGUUCGAAUCCUGCCACUCCGACCA